rnacentral:sRNA from 1 species
GCCAGGUGUGGUGGUGCACGCCUGUAAUCCCAGUGGCUGGGGAGGCUGAGGCAGGAGGAUGGCGAGUCCAAUGCCAGCCUCAGCAAAAGUGAGGCAUUAAACAACUCAGUGAGACCCUUUCUCUA